rnacentral:rRNA from 1 species
UACGUAGGGUGCAAGCGUUGUCCGGAAUUAUUGGGCGUAAAGCGCACGUAGGCGGUAUUGCAAGUCGGAUGUGAAAUCCCUCGGCUCAACCAAGGAAGUGCAUCCGAAACUGCAGUACUUGAGUACGAAAGAGGAUCGCGGAAUUCCCGGUGUAGAGGUGAAAUUCGUAGAUAUCGGGAGGAACACCAGUGGCGAAGGCGGCGAUCUGGGUCGAUACUGACGCUGAGGUGCGAAAGCGUGGGGAGCAAACAGG